rnacentral:rRNA from 1 species
UACGUAGGGUGCGAGCGUUAAUCGGAAUUACUGGGCGUAAAGCGUGCGUAGGCGGUUCGUUAAGUUCGUUGUGAAAGCCCCGGGCUCAACCUGGGAAUGGCCAUGGAAACUGGCGAGCUGGAGUGUGGCAGAGGGGGGUGGAAUUCCGCGUGUAGCAGUGAAAUGCGUAGAGAUGCGGAGGAACACCGAUGGCGAAGGCAGCCCCCUGGGCUAACACUGACGCUGAGGCACGAAAGCGUGGGGAGCAAACAGG